rnacentral:rRNA from 1 species
GGAGGGUGCAAGCGUUAAUCGGAAUUACUGGGCGUAAAGCGCACGCAGGCGGUUUGUUAAGUCAGAUGUGAAAUCCCCGGGCUCAACCUGGGAACUGCAUCUGAUACUGGCAAGCUUGAGUCUCGUAGAGGGGGGUAGAAUUCCAGGUGUAGCGGUGAAAUGCGUAGAGAUCUGGAGGAAUACCGGUGGCGAAGGCGGCCCCCUGGACGAAGACUGACGCUCAGGUGCGAAAGCGUGGGGAGCAAACAGGAUUAGAUACCCUGGUAGUCCAGCCGUAAACGAUGUCGACUUGGAGGUUGUGCCCCUUGAGGCGUGGCUUCCGGAGCUAACGCGUUAAGUCGACCGCCUGGGGAGUACGGCCCGCAAGGUUA